CAGAGCUUGCAGAGCUUUUCCAUGUCCUUUUUGGCGCUGAUGGCUGUCAUCCAGAAGAGCACCCAGUAGCAGGAGAACGCUGACACCAGGGCAAGAAAUGAGGCUGGAGCCGGUGCUGGAACAGAUCAGGAGGCCUGCAGUGGUUCUGGGGCAGUUCUGUCACAAGACGCAACAGUGCACGCCCAGGAAAAUAGCUCAAGGCAAGGUCACCUUUAAUACUGAAGCAUUCAGUGAAUAUGACCAGCAGAGACCCCUCUUAAUGAAUCUGCAGGACCAUCAAAAGACUUCCAGGAGGAGAAGCAUUGCAACUUGCUGAAAUUCCAGAUUGUGUCAAGUAUGACACUUCAAAUUUGUUCAGCAGAUUCAUUGUGCUGCAAGAGGGAGCUACCCUGGGUCAGAGAUGACAUCGGAGAUGGAGGCUUCUGAUAGCUGACUAAGAGGCCAACCUGGUGAUCACAGUGCCUUUGGAGAUGGCUGAGAGGGAGAGCAUGUAAACCUGAUGUGAACGGAGGAGACCAGAGGAGCACAGCAACGAGGUGGGUCGGUGCCUGAAGUCCAAGCUACGGCCUGACUCUGGGCUCUACGUUUACCUCACUGUUCGGAUUUUCAUUUUGAAGAUGUGAGGCACUUGGCACAGCAGGGUGGUCUGCAGCAUUCAAAUCGCUACUCCAACAUGACAGACACCCUUGCAGAAAGAGGUCACAGUUGAGCGCUUCCAGGUGGAACCUACCUUGGCAAUGCAACAUUUUUGGACACUACAUCGGCAUGUGCCUUUCCACUUUGUUUUGCCCCUUCUCCCCUGGGAAGGAAGUAAACCUGGAUAUCAGCAGUCAAGGUCAAGUGAGUGAGGUGGCCCACUUGUAUUAUGCCUGCAGGGGCUGAACCCCCUCAUGGACCAGCUGAUGGAGCCAGUUUAUCACCCUUGAGCUGCCCCUGGAUACCCUGCGACGGCGGCGUCGGCCUUGGAGUGCGGCCACAGCGUAUGAGCUGAGGACCGGGACGUUCUCAGGAGACGUAGACUAAGAGAGAACAGCCCUCUGAGGGCAGGAACUUCCCAGAUGAUGAGGCGGCCUUCUUUUGCACCUGAUGAGGAUUUGCAUCCCUGGAUAUCUGAGAGCUAAGUUGAGGGCUACACCUCAGGGAGGGGGAUGAGAGUGGGGUGCUGGGUCAGGACUUGGUGGGAGGGAUUUUUGAAUUAGCUUUGGAGAUGGGGAUGUCCACGAGAGGGCCCCUUAGGCCACGUAAAGGGAAAGCCUCGCUUUUGAUCAUAAUGCUGAUGUGUGGAGGGCAGAGCAGUCCUGGUGUGUGUUGUGUCACUUGUCUAUUGUGUGUUCUGUGUCUUUUGGGCAUCUUGUGUCACAUGUCUUUUGCCUUACCCCUUUGAGGGGCUUAUCAGAAAUGCUGGGCAUCAUCCUUAGCAGCUCCUUUGCGUUCCUUGGCCCGACGCUGGUACCCUUGAACCUUUGACUUGCAAGCUCGGGCAUGCAUCGGAAUCGCAUCUCUCUUUAGCACUAUUGAGUCAGACACCUUUUACAGUCUUGUUCUGGGCUGUAUUGACAGCUGUGCACCGCAACAAUCCCUUAUAACAGAUUAGGACUUGGGAGAAUGCGAGGAUAGGUAGAGGAUUCCAACCGUACGAUUCUCGGGCAUCCGUCUUUGCGGUUCUUGGCAUAAGUCCUUCUGUUAGGGUCUUUUCCUGCCAGAGUUCUUUGAGCCUCAUCGGCCUCAUCUAGGUCAUCUCAUUGGUAAUUCUUCUUGCUGAGAGUUUCCUCUCCUUGUUGCAUCCCCUUGUUUGUCAUCUCCUGUGUCACGGGUGUCUGUGUGUUUGGCCCGGGGCUGCUUUGCCCUGCUACAUAGCCUGGGUGUAGGUGUAAUAGGAUAAGUCCUAGGGACUUGACAUUUGUAAUGUAGGGAUUAGUUGGACUCAAGAUGGUAUUUCUAGAUUCACACAAGAUGUCUGGAGC